rnacentral:misc_RNA from 1 species
CAAUAAGUGUUUUAUGGCACUUUUUCAAUCCAUAUCCACCUUGUGUGCAAUGUUGUCUUGUAACGCGAAUGCUUGUCAUUUGCGCUACAGGAUGUAAACAUCAACCUAUAUCUUUAACAACAUUCGUCUGAUAACAUAUUAUGAAUAUACUUAAUUCAAAAUA